UUGGAUGGGGCUUUGCACAAACUGUGCUAGUGGAAGGUGUGCCUGCCCAUGGCAGGGGGAUUGGAACCAGAUGAUCUUUGAUCCCUUCCAACAUAAACCAUUCUGUUUUUCUGUGAACUAUUGCCAAGACUUCUUGACAAGGUGUGUUUUUCAGUAUUUUUCCACAAAGUCAAAAUAUGAAAUAAUCUCAGCACAAGAGACUUUGAAAAACAUUUUUCAAGGUUUGAGUUGUUUAAAAUAAAACUGACAUUUAGUAUAAAAAUUAUAACAAUUUUUAAGAAAUCCUUUAAUAUUUACUUGAUAAUAUCAUCUAGCUCCUUCAGUGUAAAAGUUAAUGUAUACUACUCUGGGUUGCAGUGUUGAUCACUAACAAUGCUGUAAUCCACAUCUAGGUUGGUAUUUUGACCUUGACAACGUGCCUCUUGUAUUUUUAUAAUGGAAAUAGGCAAUAAUUGUUUUUUUAAUAUAGCAGAGAUUAGUAUAACAAAUUGCCUUCACAUUAUAUAAAUGUAAGGCUGUAUUUGUUCCUACUCUAAUUUGUUAACUACAACAAAAAUAUUUAUUCCCCAUUGAAUAUAUUUAUUUAAUUUUUUUUUUCAGUUCACUAUCAGUCCAGUAAAGAAAAUGUGUGAAGGAUCAUUUAUUUAUUUAUUUAUUUAUUUAUACUUGAUAAUGAUGACGUUCCUGGAACUGUAGGAAUUUUUUUAUUUGGGGUUUGUUUGUUUGUAUUUGGUUUGUCGUUCUUUGUUUUCAAAACACUGCAGCAAAAGCAUGGGACAGUGAGAAUACGCUGGGCAAUUUCUUGUAAUAUUUAUUGGGUAUUGCUCUUAGACUGUAGGAAUAGUGGAAGAAUGACACUGGCAUUGACUCAACUUUUCUCUCCAGAGGCUGCAGUUUUCAUUUUCCACACAAUGUGAUGAAGUUGUACAAAGUAACUCUCAGCCUGAGCCAGCUUUGCCAAAUGGAAUGGUCACCAGUGUCUACCAGCAUGGAAUGGUUGCAAAGAGCAGCUGUUGGCAGCCUCAUGUUUCUGUCCCCAGCUCUGGCUGUGUCAGCAAGGUGCCCACUGAUGUCAGGGGGCAGAGGACGUUUAUACAAACUAGGUAAGACCUGGAGGGCAGAAAAAGGGUAAUAGCAGGAGGAAGAAUGAUGAUCAGCACCUGGUUUGUGGGCUGCCUUUCCCAGUUGGUCUCAGGCUUUUUGUGUGAAAGCUUAUUUCCUGAAUAAGGUGUUCCUGAAGCACCUUCUCCUGAAAGAAGGAUUAUGCAGUUAUCAUCCUUUUAAACAUUUUUAGCUUUUUAAAAGUAUCAUCACCCUCAGAGCCUUUAAGCAGUGCAGUUGUAGUGCAAAUCCUAAAGGCUGUGUGGAGGUGUGGCAGGCACUGCACAACCAGACUGUCCCUGGCCUGUUGCUGCUUCCCACACGUGGGAGAGCAGCUGGGAAUCCUCCAGCCCAGGGAAUCCCCCUCCAUUCAGACUCUGCAGGAGGUCACUGCUCAGCUGCUGCUGGGGUUUAGGCCAGUGCCUCCCCUCCCCAGCAUCAUCAGGUGUUGUAUUGUACCUUCUUGUUCCUGUUCUUCCCAAUUUCAGUGUGAUGGAAAUGUGCUGUGCUGACCUGCAUGGCUCCGUCCUGAAGCCUUGCAGGGCUGCAGCUGCAGCAGUAUUUCUCACGUGAUGCCCCUCCAUGUCUUACACUCCAUUCCUUGCAUGACCUUGCAUCGUUACCAGCUGUGUUUGCUUUUUUGUAACCACUUUAAAGUACACAAUCAAACUAACCUCCAAAUGCUUUUAUUCUAGAUAAACCCAUACAAACACCAA